rnacentral:tRNA from 1 species
GCCUGGGUGGCUCAGUAGGUAAAGCAUCUGACUCUUGGUUUCGCUCAGGUCAUGAUCUCACAGAUUGUGGGUUCGGGCCCCACAUCAGGCU